rnacentral:rRNA from 1 species
UACCCCUACGGGACGCAGCAGUGGGGAAUUUUGGACAAUGGGCGCAAGCCUGAUCCAGCUAUUCCGCGUGUGGGAUGACGGCCCUCGGGUUGUAAACCACUUUAGUAGAGAACGAAAAGGGGCUAUCGAAUAAAUAGCUCUGCUGACGGUACUCUAAGAAUAAGCACCGGCUAACUGCGUGCCAGCAGCCGCGGUAAUACGUAGGGUGCGAGCGUUAAUCGGAAUUACUGGGCGUAAAGGGUGUGCAGGCGGCUGAGUAAGACAGAUGUGAAAUCCCCGGGCUUAACCUGGGAACGGCA